UGGGGGUGAUGGUGCCGCAGGUGAACUGAUACCAGGCUGUGGCACGAGCGGACACCAGCUUCUCUAUUCUCUCCCCAUCAGCCCCCCAUUCAUGCUAGGAACACACAGCUAUUCAAAGUCUCACACUGAAGUCUCUCCCCAAAAGAAUCUCCAUUGAUCUGAAAACCCUUGGGAAAAUCUAGGAAAUGAUGUUCUUUAAGAGACAAAAGAUGGAAGUGUGCACUGCUCUUCAAGUCUACAACAGUCCUGAAAAUCUUUUAACUGAAUGACUUUGUUUUUUCACAAUCACCAUCAGAUAAAGCACUUGAAGUCAAACUUUUUGCCACUGGGCAAUUUGUUUUAUUUAACAUGUGUCUUCAUCUGACAUAUGAAAAAUGGCUGCUAAUGAUAAGAAGGAAAAUUAUGUAAGCUGUAAGAGGAAAAUUUUAGCUGCCUAAAUGAGGGUCAUUUGUAGACGAUUGCUGUCACACAUAUAAUAGAAGCUGCCAAUAUUUAAAGUUUAAAACCUAAAAGUGAGUUUCUAGAGGUUCCUUAGUACAACAUAGUGCAGUUUUGCCACCACCAAUCUGCCACUUGGAUUCACAGAUCCAGUCUUCAGUAUCAAGCCCUUCAUACUGUUCACAACUUCCAUCUCCUGGUGGGACCAGAAUCCUACCACAAAACCUGCUGAAAUCAACCCACAGGUCCUGAAAUCCACACUUUGAGAACAAUUUUACUAGGUGCAUCUUCUA